CAAUAAUACAACUAUUAUAUCCUGACAAGAUCCCAGGACAUCCCGGGACAUAUUCAGAAUGAUCCUGAGGACGUCCUGUGCUAUCUGGGUGUACAGGUAAAGUUCUUGAAUAAAUGCAUUGUGUUAAUUUUAUGAUUAAUAUGAAGUGAAGAUGAUUAUAAAUGCAAAAGAUACUUACAUUGAUUAAUCUUAUUUAAUUUUUUACGUAUUUUUGCUCUAAAGGUUAUUUAUGAUAUAAAUGUGUAUUAUGUGAAUGUUGAUCUGAAUAAUUUAAUAACUUUAUCUUUUUUUUAUUGUCAGGAAAGCAAAAUGGGUUUCAGCCAACAGUUUGCUUAGAUGAAACAACUAUUUAAAACACAUCACCUGUGCUUGAACGCAAGAGUUUCAACAUAAGAGUUGAUGUACACUUGUUUAAUGAAAAAUUCUGUUCAAUAAGAAAAAUUGAAAUACUGUGUUACUUUUUUAUGAGAUCUAAUGUUAAUAUAGUCAUUUAAUUUUGCAUAGGCUUGUUUAGCAGUAUAUUAAUGACAAGAAGAUUUUAAAGUACUUUAGUCUAGCAACAUUAUCUCACAGUAUAUUUAACAUGUAUAAACCGAUUUUCAGAAAUUCAUGAACAAUUAUUGGAUAACUUGUAUGAUGUCGAAACGUUU